GCUACUUCCCAGUAGCUCACCAAAAGCGACAUGCGUUGCCCUAACAGAGAGAUCUAAAUGAGAUUGGAAAGAUCGUCUUAAUUAGCUUCAAAAUCCUGCUAAUUAGAGGCCUCGCUACAUUAAAACACUGCUUCAGUGACCAGACCGGGUCACAGCUACAAAUGAACCCUGAUGAAGAAAAAAGUGCUUUGCUACGGCAAGCAGCUGGAUCCAAUCCACCUCCAGGGCUUUGUGAAGGGAAAGGAUGUUUUAAGUUUGACUUCAGUGUCUCCUGAGGAUAACUUGGGACUCCCCCUUGCCAGCACAUGUGACAUUAGGGCCCCCACAGCCUUUCAGCCUAAGGCCUUCAAGACAGGUUUCAUUGCCACCACAACAAGUCAUGUCCCCUUAAAGGGAACAGGAAAAGACAGAUGUGCUGGAAAGCAAGACUUUGUGUGUGUGUGUAGAAGGCCUAGACUGGACAGAUCAACUCAUCCUUUUGACAGACAGAACAUUCGUCUUAGGCUUCUGUCACUGUGCAGGAGCAGCGAGUGUGGUGGGGAAGAGCAGUGAAGCCACUGCUGUCGCAGUCUACCUGGAUGUGGAUGGAUCGGGCAGAGCAGUGAUGACAUCAGGCCUGCACAGGUGUGACGGCAGAGGCAGCCAGGCACUCCCACUGCUGCAUUUGAGCAUCCCUGACCUCACCACGACCCCAUACCUUCCAGCAAGAGUGGCAGAUGCAGGACGAAGCAAGAAUUGAAGGGGGAAGCCCUGGGAACAGAACAAGAUGAGAGUUCCUGCAAGGAUGCUUGGUGCCAGACAGCUUGUUUCCAGAAAUUUGUUUGUUGUUGUUCUGCUGCUGCUGCUGCUGCUGUUAACAUUUGAUACCAUCAUUUUUCUUCAUGUCAUAUUCUUUGAGCACCA